rnacentral:rRNA from 1 species
UAGGGAAUCUUCCACAAUGGACGCAAGUCUGAUGGAGCAACGCCGCGCGAGUGAAGAAGGCUUUCGGGUCGUAAAACUCUGUUAUUGAAGAAGAACGUGUGUGACAGUAACUGGUCAUGCAGUGACGGUAUUCAAUCAGAAAGUCACGGCUAACUACGUGCCAGCAGCCGCGGUAAUACGUAGGUGGCAAGCGUUGUCCGGAUUUAUUGGGCGUAAAGCGAGUGCAGGCGGUCUUUUAAGUCUGAUGUGAAAGCCUUCGGCUUAACCGAAGAAGGGCAUCGGAAACUGGGAGACUUGAGUGCAGAAGAGGAGAGUGGAACUCCAUGUGUAGCGGUGAAAUGCGUAGAUAUAUGGAAGAACACCAGUGGCGAAGGCGGCUCUCUGGUCUGUAACUGACGCUGAGGCUCGAAAGCGUGGGUAGCAAACAGGAUUAGAUACCCUGGUAGUCCACG